rnacentral:rRNA from 1 species
UACGUAGGGUGCGAGCGUUGUCCGGAAUUAUUGGGCGUAAAGAGCUCGUAGGCGGUCUGUCGCGUCGAUCGUGAAAACUUGGGGCUUAACCCUGAGCUUGCGGUCGAUACGGGCAUGACUGGAGUUCGGCAGGGGAGACUGGAAUUCCUGGUGUAGCGGUGAAAUGCGCAGAUAUCAGGAGGAACACCGGUGGCGAAGGCGGGAUCCUGGGCCAGUACUGACGCUGAGGAGCGAAAGCGUGGGGAGCGAACAGG